GACGAACGCUGGCGGCGUGCUUAACACAUGCAAGUCGAACGGAGUUACUGGAGAGCUUGCUUGAAGGUAACUUAGUGGCGAACGGGUGAGUAACGCGUGAGUAACCUGUCUCAUACAGGGGAAUAACACUUGGAAACAGGUGCUAAUACCGCAUAAGACCACAGAGCCGCAUGGUUCAGGGGUCAAAGAUUUAUCGGUAUGAGGUGGGCUCGCGUCUGAUUAGAUAGUUGGUGAGGUAACGGCUCACCAAGUCGACGAUCAGUAGCCGACCUGAGAGGGUGAUCGGCCACAUUGGAACUGAGACACGGCCCAAACUCCUACGGGAGGCAGCAGUGAGGGAUAUUGGGCAAUGGGGGCAACCCUGACCCAGCGACGCCGCGUGAGGGAUGACGGUCUUCGGAUUGUAAACCUCUGUCUUCGGGGACGAAAAAGGACGGUACCCGAGGAGGAAGCUCCGGCUAACUACGUG
rnacentral:rRNA from 1 species